UGUUCAUUUGUUAUUAAAUGUUUGAAAUUUGUUAUGUAGUGCUCUGUUGUGAAAACUUUAGUAUCUACAUACUUCAUGGGUACCUUCAUAUGCUAAGUUCUUUAUAGACAUGACCCCUUUCUAAUAAUCCUGUGAAGUAGAAGUGAUUUCUAUUGCAAAAUAUAUGGGAUGAUUACAUAUCUAUAGAGAAACAGAAAUGGGCUCCCUAAGGUUAAGGAAUUUAUGAGUGGUCCUGUCAGUAGUUGGGAACCCAGGGGAGAUUCCAGCUUCAGCCUUCUCUCCCUGCCCCAGAGCUGCCUCCCUUCCUGUCGCAUACUGGUCAUCACCAUGCCACCAAGCAUGGGUUUGUCCCUCUCCUCUUACUGAUGUUUAAAAAGACUCUUUUAUUGUCUGUGAUGGUUAAUUUUAAGUGUCAACUUGACUGAGCCAUUAGGUGCCCAGAUGUUAGGUCAAACAUUAUUCUAGGUGUGUCUGUGAGGGUCUUUCUGGAUGAGAUUAACAUGUGAAUCUGUAGACUGAACAAGGCAGUUGUCCCUCCCCAGUGUGGGUGGGCCUCCUCCAAGCCACUGAGUCCUGAAUAGGACAAAAGGGAUGGUAAGGGAGCACUGCUCUCUCUGCCUGACUGCUGUCAAGCCAGGACAUCGGUCUUCUCCUGUACUUGGACUGGGACUUACACAAUCAAUUCUGUGGAUUGUCAGGCCUCCGGCUCAGACUGGAGCUACACGGCAGGUAAUUCUGGGUCUCUAGCUGGCCGAUGGUGGACUGUGAGACUUCCCAGUCCCUGUAAUGACAUGACCCAGUUCUUCAUAAUAAAUCUCUCCCUUUCUCUCUGUAUUUCUGUCUCUAUCUCUCCUGUUGGUUUUGUUUCUCUGGAGAACCCAGACUAACACGUUGUCCUUGGCAUCAUUGCCUCAUUUGGUGCUUCAGCCUGGAAUGAUGAUCAAGAGUUCUACAUUGUGUCAUUUUGGAACUUGUUGGAUAUUUGUCAUUUUCUUCCAUGUUUCAUAAAUGUUCUAUUAAACAUUGAGAUUACCAUUGGGCAAUUUAUAUAACUACAUAGGUUUUGAUAUAUGCCUUUCCAUUUCUCCAUACUUGGUGCUGAUAUUGUGAGAACUUAUAUUUUGAAUCCCUCAUUCCUUUUAAGCCGUCUUUCUUUUUAGACCCUCCAGAUAUAGAUUUGUGCCUAUUUUUAUCUAAAGUCAGAAGUGACUAUAUUCAAAAUUCCCUCACUUAGCUUUCUGUUUAAGAUCUCAUCAAUUUUCACCUUUCCAAUCAGUUCUUUCACAGUUGAGUUAGAAUAACAAUUUAAAUUUAUUUUCUUCUAUUGACUGAGGGAUAUAAUUGACUUCAAGGCAUGUCAAGAUUUAUAAACUGCAUAUUUUAUUUGUUUGUUCUUUUUGGUCAAGUGAGAUCCUCAGCAGUUUUCACAUUCCACUGACUGCUGUCCAUUCUGGGUAGGAGGGUGUGUUUUUUAAAAUUUCCUCCUUUAUUUGAAUUUUCUUAAUUUAUAAAAUCUCUUCUCUUUCAUUCUCUUUUCUGUUUUCUCUAAGCUCUUUUUAAAAAAACACUAUGAAGUACACUUUUUUCUUAAAAAAGGAGACAGAAAGAAAGAAAAAGAAAAAAAGAAAAAGAGAAAGAAGGAAAGAAAAGCCAUAAAAUGCACAGAAGUAAAAAAUAAGUCAGGAGCAAAUCUUGAGAUCACAUUUCCUUCGGCUUGUCAUAAUGACGUAUUUGUGUUCUACCUCACAUUAGUUUUCUUUAGGGUUUUAGUGCCUUAAGAGCAUUAACUGUUUGUUUAUUUAAUUUUUGUAGAGACAGGCUGGUCUCCACUAUGUUUUUAUGUUGUCCAGGAUAUGUUGCCCAGUCUGGUCUCAAACUCCUGGCCUCAUGUGAUUCUCCUGCCUCAGCUUCCCAAAGUGCUGGGAUUACAGUUCUAUAGGUUUUGAAUGUAUCAGCAUGAACCUAUCACCAGCACAAGCAAGAUACGGAACUGUUGAAUCAUCCACCUCCAAAAUUCCUCAGAGGCACUUCUGUAGUCAACCCUUCUCCAACUCCAUUCCCUAGUUAACCACUCUUCUGUUUGCCAACUCCAGAGGUUUGCCUUUUCCAGAAUGUCAUAUAAAUGGAGUCAUACCAUAUGUAGCAUUUUGGGUCUGGCUUCUUUUACUUACCAUAAUACAUUUGAGGUUCAUCCAUGUUGUUGAAAGGGACAAACUAGGGUGUCACUAGUUUGUCCCUUUCUUGCUGAGCAGUAUUUCGUUGUACAAAGCUAUCAGUGUGUUUAAGCAUCCCACAGUAAAGAGACAUUGGAGUUUUUCCAGUUUUUGGCUAUUAUGAGUAAAACUUCUAUAAAUAUUUCCCUACAAGUUUUAAGUGAACAUAGGUUAUUAUUUCACUUUGGUAACUACCUGGGAGUAGGAUUGAUGGGUGUCUUAGUUGCCUAGGGCUGCCAUAAUGAAGGACCACAAACUGGAUGGCUUCAAACAGCAGAAAUUUAUUCUUUAGCCUAGAAGUUCUCUAGGCUAGAAGUCCACAAUCAAGGUGUUGGCAAAUCUGCACUAGGGAAGAAUUGUUCUUUGCCUCUUCUAGCUUUUGGCCGUUGCCCAGCUGCCUUAGCUUGUGGCCACAUCCCCCCAAUCUCUGCCUCUGCUUCAUGUUGCCUUCUCCUGUAUCUGUCUGCUCCACAUGAUCAUAUUCCAGUGUGUGGUCUCCACUUUGACUCCAGGUGACAAAGAAACAACAUUGACUCUGAGUGCACACAGCUCCUCUCUGAUGCUUAUUGAUAGAGUUGAGCAUGUAUGGGGAAGCCAGAUGUCACUGCAGGAAACAUAUUAUUUUUGUUACUAUUCUUUUUUGAAUUCCGUUACUUCCUCCUGGGUUUGCUUUUUUCCUUGUUUAAAUAUGCCAAAUCUGUCUGGGUUCUUGGUUGCAAACAACAGAAACCAAUUCUAGUUAACAUAAGCAGAAGACUUCUCGUAACGACUUUGGAUAGCUUGCGUAAUAACAGAAAGUCUAGAUUCCUGCACUUAGAAAAUGUGCAGUAAGCAAGGGAACAUGGGAAGCCAAGCAGUCUGCUUCUGACAUUACUGUCCUUGUGCACCUGUUCUGUGUUAUAGGAUUCUUCAUUUCACCACCCUUGUGAAGAAUCCUAUAAUGUUGAAUGUUGGCAAUGGCAAAACAAGAGAUGAGUGGAAGCUGGUGCCCACAUUCCCCUCCUUUCUCUCUGCUGUGAACUAAAAUGCAGUUCCUUUCUGCAACCUUCUGGAAAAUCAUGUGUGAUGAGUGAAUGUGCUGUGGAGCAGCCUGCAGUGUUUCUCUGACACUGAAUGGAAGCAGUAGCCCCUGCAGUGCCACUAACACACUCCAUCACACUGUGGUUCAGCUUCACUUGCCUCACACUUCUUUUUACUUCACCCUCACUGACUGCCCUGGGCUUGCAUUUCUCAAAGAAAGUAUUAGCACCUUAAUCCUCACCUCAGAUUCUGCUUUGUAGAGGAUCUAAAUGCAUUGCUUUAUAGAAAAGAGUGGGUUUUAUGAGGAACAGGCAAAUCCAUGCUCAUCAGUUUUCUGAGUAAAUCUCCUCAAGUAUCUCAGAAUUUUGGCUUUCUUUAUUAAAAGAGACCCUGCUUUUAAAAUUAUGAAGAAAAUAACUUUUCUAAAAACAUGCUUAUGUAAUUAGUGCCAGCCUCUGCCUUCUUAAAUAACUUAAUACCUAGAUGAGCCAAAAGCAAGAGGAGGAUUUUAGACCAACACCUCCCAGUGAAUUUACUCUGGUCCACAACUGCUUGAUGGACCAGUGUGAAGCUCACUUCCAUAUCAAAUCCAUCUGGAAAUACAGAGAAAAAAGAGAGAGCUUGCCUUUUACUCCUAACAGAGAUUCCAAACAAAGUCAGUCUUCCACAAUAUAUGGCUUUGGUGCUGUGAAUUUAUAAAUUGAUAAAUCUGAACAGCAAGGAUUUAUAAAGCUAUACUUCUGGCACUAAGUUCAGAGGCAUGGAGUAAGUUGGGAUACUGAACUUAAAUGGAUUAAGAAUAAUAUAAAUGACUGUUAACUCUUAAAUGGAUCAAGAGUAAUACAAAUGACUGUUAACUGGUUGGAAUACGGACAGACAGUCCCAUAUGGGCACCAGCAACUGGAGGACUGAAGUAAACGUGUGCUUUCCCAAUCCUCGUCACGUUCUUAUCGGGAAAGGAAAGCAGGUCAGCAGAUUCGCACGGGCUAAUCAAAAGGACUACAGAGAGUUUUACAAGACCUGAUAGACAAAACAACAACAACAAAGAAAACACCUCCUCAGACUAGUUGAGGUUGCAGGAUACAGUUUUCAAGAAAUUGAUUCUUGGUUAGUAUCCAGCAUUCAUUGUGCAGGCCAAGACUUUUAAACAUGAGUGAAGCUCAGUGCUUUUUUUAAAAGUCAGUUUCCCUUUUUAUAUUAACGAGACUUUUAAGUCCAUGUCUUUCACAAGCUUUUUAGUUCCUGAAGCUUUAUGUGUUUCCAAGAAGUGACAUAUUCUUUAACUUUCACAUGUUCUGCAUUUCCAAGCUUAUGUUGCCAUUACGACUUGAUUUCUCAGUACAAUUGCAAAUUUAUGGGUGUCUUGCACUAUAUCUAAUAAGGUCUUCCAGAGUUUUUACAUCUAGAAGUGAAUGAGGAAUUAGUCUCAUCUUCGGGACAUUGACUAAUCCAUCACAUUGGAACAAUUACUUAUGACCACCAAUAUUGAUGAAUUGCUAGAUGCUGUUUUUAUCUGGGUAUUUCAUAGUUCACUGAGGUUCAGUUUUCUUUUAAAAAUAUCUUUUUUCUCUGUU